ACGGGAGGCAGCAGUGGGGAAUAUUGCACAAUGGGCGCAAGCCUGAUGCAGCGACGCCGCGUGAGCGAAGAAGUAUUUCGGUAUGUAAAGCUCUAUCAGCAGGGAAGAUAAUGACGGUACCUGACUAAGUAGCACCGGCUAAAUACGUGCCAGCAGCCGCGGUAAUACGUAUGGUGCAAGCGUUAUCCGGAUUUACUGGGUGUAAAGGGAGCGUAGGCGGUUUUACAAGUCUGAUGUGAAAGCCCGGGGCUCAACUCCGGUAUUGCAUUGGAAACUGUAGAACUAGAGUGUCGGAGGGGUAAGUGGAAUUCCUAGUGUAGCGGUGAAAUGCGUAGAUAUUAGGAGGAACACCAGUGGCGAAGGCGGCUUACUGGACGAUUACUGACGCUGAGGCUCGAAAGCGUGGGGAGCAAACAGGAUUAGAUACCCUGGUA
rnacentral:rRNA from 1 species